AUUGAACGCUGGCGGCAGGCCUAACACAUGCAAGUCGAGCGGAUGCAGCGUGCUUGCUUCCGGAUUCAGCCGCCGACUGGUGAGUAAUGCCUAGAAAUCCGCCUGAUUUUGGGGCAUAACGUCCUGAAAUGGGCUAUUCUACCCCAUACCUCCUGAGGGAGUAAGUGGGUGAUCUUCGGACUUCUCGCUAUUACAUUAGUCUAGGUCGCAUUACCUAGUUGGUGGGGUAAAGGCCUAUCAAGGCGACUAUCCGUAACUGGUCUAAGAGGAUGAUCAGUCACACUGGAACUGAGACACGUUCCAGACUCCGACGGGAGGCAGCAGUGGGGAAUAUUGGACAAUGGACGAAAGCCUGAUCCAGCCAUGCCGCGUGUGUCAAGAAAGUGUUCGGAUUGUGAAGCACUGAAGGUUGGAAGGAAGGGCAGAAAGUUAAAGCCUUGCUAUUUUGACAUUACCAACAGAAUAAGCACCGGCUAACUUCGUG
rnacentral:rRNA from 1 species